rnacentral:tRNA from 1 species
UGCGGGAUCGUCUAAUGGUAGGACGCCUGACUCUGAAUCAGGUAAUCUUGGUUCGAAUCCAGGUCCCGCAG